UCAACCACCUCGCACCACCUAAUGCAGAAGGCAACGCAAGAUCAGCCCAUUAAGCCUCCCUUCUGUCUCCCCCUCCCCCAACGGCCCAGCCCAACACCCGCCCCGCCGCGCGGCUCUCUCUCCCCCGUUCGCUAGCCGCCGCUUGCCACUCCUGUUGUGCCGCGCAGCAGACCUAGCAAAUAGGCACCAGAGAUGGUGAUGGCUCUGCGGCGCCUCGCGAGCGCGCCCGGCUGGCCGUCCCCCGCCGCGCUGCUCCUCCGGCCGGUGUUGGACCCGCCCGAUCUCCACCGGCUUCCGCGAGCAGCGCGACCCUUCAGCCCCAUCCGCGUCCCCAAAGACGAGUGCUUUGGAGCGCGCAGACGCAGAGAUCGCUGCAGAAUUUCAGCAUUGGCGGGGAGCGCGAGCUGAUGCCGUGCCCAUCAUCCGUGCCUUUGGUGUGCUAAAAAAGUGCGCCGCUAAGUCGACGUAUAAAGUAGUUGCGUCUGUUGCAGUGACCUUGCAUUCUAUUCUAUCAGUAUUACAUGAAGAGUUUUUUCGCUCAGGUUUCCUGGUUGUCACACAUUCAAGGUGGUGAUGUAGUAUUUUCAUGGCUACCAUAUAACCAGAGACCAGUUUAGUAAUAUUUUAGAUUUGUGAAAGCAGGCACUUGUUGAAUCAGCAAUGGUGUGUUUCAGGUCGGAUGUUAAACUGAUUGUGAUGUGCUAACAAGUGGUAAUAUACUUCCCUGUUAAUUGGUACUGUUGGCCAAGUAUAUAACUAGUGUUGGUUGAUCAGUUAGAUCCGUGUUUCAUUCACCCAGAUAUGUUCUACAACGUAUUUCAAGAUUUUUUUUUUCUUUUUUUGCCAGGUGACAAGUUUUCUUGUCGCUGUACAUGUUACUUUUUAUCCUCUUAAUUUUUUAUUUACUGGUGCACCCUAUAUUUCA